AUUGAACGCUGGCGGCAUGCCUUACACAUGCAAGUCGAACGGCAGCACGGGUGCUUGCACCUGGUGGCGAGUGGCGAACGGGUGAGUAAUACAUCGGAACGUACCUUAUCGUGGGGGAUAACGCAGCGAAAGCUGUGCUAAUACCGCAUACGCCCUGAGGGGGAAAGCGGGGGAUCGAAAGACCUCGCGCGAUUAGAGCGGCCGAUGCCUGAUUAGCUUGUUGGUGGGGUAAAAGCCCACCAAGGCGACGAUCAGCAGCUGGUCUGAGAGGACGAUCAGCCACACUGGGACUGAGACACGGCCCAGACUCCUACGGGAGGCAGCAGUGGGGAAUUUUGGACAAUGGGGGAAACCCUGAUCCAGCAAUGCCGCGUGAGUGAAGAAGGCCUUCGGGUUGUAAAGCUCUUUUGUCAGGGAAGAAACACCGGCUCUAACACAGUCCGGGAAUGACGGUACCUGAUGAAUAAGCACCGGCUAACUACGUGCCAGCCGCCGCCGUAA
rnacentral:rRNA from 1 species